GAUGAACGCUGGCGGCGUGCCUAAUACAUGCAAGUCGAGCGAACAGACGAGGAUCUUGCUCCUCUGACGUUACCGGCGGACGGGUGAGUCACACGUGGCUAACCUAUCUCUAAGACUUGGAUAACUUCGGGAAACCGGAGCUAAUACCGGAUAAUCUAUUGAACCGCAUGGUUCAAUAGUGAACGACGGUUUUGCUGUCACUUAUAGAUGGAUCCGCGCCGGAUUAGCUAGUUGGUAAGGUAACGGCUUACCGAGGCAACGCUGCGUAGCCGAGCUGAGAGGGGGAUCGGCCACGCGGGAGCGGAGAGCCAGACCAGGCCCGUGCGAGGGGCAGGAGUAGGACAGCUGGCAGAAGGGGCGAAAGCUUGACGGAGCGACGCCGCGUGAGUCAGGAAGGUCUUCGGAGCGAAGAACGCUGUUGUGAGGGAAGAAGAAAUGUGUAAGUAACUAGGCACGUCUGAAGGGUAUCGAAUCAGAAGGACCCGGCAAACUACGG
rnacentral:rRNA from 1 species